AUUGACAACGUUUCCAGUGAAGUUGGCCGUCGCCGGAACUCAUGGAUCGACCACCGUCGUUUCCACACUAUCAAAUCCCUAAUCCGAACUUGUUUCAUCACGUUCCUCCUCCAAACCCUAAUCCUAAUUUCUUCGUCCGACCUCCUCUAGCUCAUCUUCAAAAUCCUAACAAUUACUCCAUCGCCGUCUCCGCCGCCGAUUUGCGAGCUCUCCGAAGGACGAAAAUGGCGAUUUUGAUUAAAAUCACUUAAUGCCACCUGAAGCUCUCUUUCUCCAUUACCUCGAGUUACUACCAUGUGAACUACAGUUUUGAUGGUGUCUCCUUGGCGAUCAAUGUAGGAAUUUCCCAAGUUCGUAUUCCUGUGGUGUUCUUUCUUCGAUUGUGGGUUCAAAAGCGAUUGAACCCAUCGAGUUGAGGAGGACAUGGAUUCUGGUUAAGAGGAUUUGAAAUCGGUACUUCAAUGGCUUGUGGAUUUAUUAUAGAGUCUGAUGCUAAUGGCGUUGGUGAUUAUGAGCUGCAAAACUACAACAUUUUGAGUGUACAGUCUUGAUUCAAGUCUUGUCUUGUAUGGAGAAGCAAAUGGCAAGUACUUUGCUUUAAGCAGUGCAUGAUUCAAGCUUGAGUAAUAAGGAUGUGAAGAUGGAAAAUAGUUCAGGUCGGAAUGUGGCAAAAUCUUUCCCUUCUUCUUCUUCGAGGUACGCUUGAUUUCUCCUCUUUUUGUUGUCUAAUCUUUUCCCAUUGAGAAAUAUUCGUCGGAGGGAGAAGAAAUUAUUCCGAUGAGGACGAGCGGUUCGGUUUUCAUUGGUUUUGAAAUUAGAUUUGAUUUCGGUUUAGUGUACAUGGUUUUUGAAAUUAUAACUGAUUUCGUUCGGUUUGCGUUGGAAUUAA